GCGGAAGGAUCAUUAAAGAGUAAGGGUGCUCAGCGCCCGACCUCCAACCCUUUGUUGUUAAAACUACCUUGUUGCUUUGGCGGGACCGCUCGGUCUCGAGCCGCUGGGGAUUCGUCCCAGGCGAGCGCCCGCCAGAGUUAAACCAAACUCUUGUUAUUUAACCGGUCGUCUGAGUUAAAAUUUUGAAUAAAUCAAAACUUUCAACAACGGAUCUCUUGGUUCUCGCAUCGAUGAAGAACGCAGCGAAAUGCGAUAAGUAAUGUGAAUUGCAGAAUUCAGUGAAUCAUCGAAUCUUUGAACGCACAUUGCGCCCCUUGGUAUUCCGAGGGGCAUGCCUGUUCGAGCGUCAUUACACCACUCAAGCUAUGCUUGGUAUUGGGCGUCGUCCUUAGUUGGGCGCGCCUUAAAGACCUCGGCGAGGCCACUCCGGCUUUAGGCGUAGUAGAAUUUAUUCGAACGUCUGUCAAAGGAGAGGAACUCUGCCGACUGAAACC
rnacentral:misc_RNA from 1 species